rnacentral:rRNA from 1 species
AUGGCGUCCCUCGUGGAGGUCUUCCUGGGCUCCUAUUCUUCCUCGGCACCGGUGGACUGGGAUGCGGAGGCCUACCCGGCGUACAGUGACUUCGCCGUGCUCCCCCUGCUCGUCGCCUUCUUCCCCACCUUGCGCUUCCUCCUCGAUCAAUUCGCCUUUGAGGUGUUAGCAAGACGACUUAUAUUUGGAAAGGGACAUGAUAAGCUUGGUGAAACAGAUGAAACGAGAAAGAAAAUCAAUAAAUUCAAGGAGUCAGCGUGGAAAUUUGUCUAUUUUCUUUCUGCGGAAUUCUUUUCAUUGUCCGUAACAUACAACGAGCCAUGGUUUACAAAUACAAGAUACUUUUGGGUAGGGCCUGGUGAGCAGCUCUGGCCUGAUCAAAAGAUGAAGCUGAAGCUUAAGGCUGUAUACAUGUAUGCCGCCGGAUUUUACAUAUAUUCUGUCUUCGCUCUUCUGUUCUGGGAAACAAGACGCAAGGACUUCGGCAUCUCGAUCUCUCACCAUGUGGCAACUGUUGUUCUGAUUGUUAUGUCCUAUAUUUGUAGAAUAACUCGUGCUGGCUCGGUCAUUUUAGCCAUCCAUGAUGCAAGUGAUAUAUUUCUAGAGAUUGGAAAGAUGGCCAAGUACAGUAGCUGUGAGUGGCUAGCUAUUGUAGCAUUUCUACUAUUUGUGGCUUCGUGGAUCCUUCUUCGGCUAAUUGUUUUUCCUUUCUGGGUCCUAAGAAGCACAAGUUAUGAAGUACCUAUGAUCCUGGACAAGGACAACAAAAUAAUGUCCUUGUACUACUAUGUUUGCAACAGUCUCUGUUUCACACUUCUAGUAUUUCACAUAUAUUGGUGGGUACUGAUUUACCGGAUGCUAAUUAAACAAAUCCAAUGCAGAGGAGAUGUUGGUGACGAUGUCCGAUCCGAUUCCGAAGGCGAAAACAAUCAUGAAGAUUAA